rnacentral:rRNA from 1 species
GACGAACGCUGGCGGCGUGCUUAACACAUGCAAGUCGAACGGAAAGGCCCUGCUUGCAGGGUACUCGAGUGGCGAACGGGUGAGUAACACGUGUGUGAUCUGCCCUGCACUUCGGGAUAAGCUUGGGAAACUGGGUCUAAUACCGGAUAGGAGCCAGCUUUAGUGUGGGGGUUGGAAAGUUUUUUCGGUGUAGGAUGAGCUCGCGGCCCGUCAGCUUGUUGGUGGGGUAAUGGCCUACCAAGGCGGCGAUGGGUAGCCGGCCUGAGAGGGUGUACGGCCACAUUAGGCCUGAAAUGCGGCCCGGACCACUCUGGGAGGCAGGAGAGGAGAAUAUUGUACAACGCGAGCGAGCCUGAGGCAGCGAAGCCGCGUGGGGGAUGAAGGCCUUCGGGUUGUAAACUGCUCUCGCUAGGGAGGAAGCGUUUUUGUGACGGUACCUAGAGAAGAAGCACCGGCUAACUACGUG